CAAAGUGUAGCUUAAACAAAGCAUCUGGCUUACACCCAGAAGAUUUCACAUUCAAUGACCACUUUGA
rnacentral:tRNA from 1 species